rnacentral:rRNA from 1 species
GUGGGGAAUCUUGCGCAAUGGGCGAAAGCCUGACGCAGCAACGCCGCGUGCGGGAUGACGGCCUUCAAGGUUGUAAACCGCUUUCAGCAGGGACGAAAAUGACGGUACCUGCAGAAGAAGCCCCGGCUAACUACGUGCCAGCAGCCGCGGUAAUACGUAGGGGGCAAGCGUUGUCCGGAUUCAUUGGGCGUAAAGAGCUCGUAGGCGGUUCAGUAAGUCGGGUGUGAAAGCUCCGAGCUCAACUCGGAGAGGCCACCCGAUACUGCUGUGACUUGAGUACAGUAGGGGAGCGUGGAAUUCCUGGUGUAGCGGUGAAAUGCGCAGAUAUCAGGAGGAACACCAGCGGCGAAGGCGGCGCUCUGGGCUGUAACUGACGCUGAGGAGCGAAAGUGUGGGUAGCAAACAGGAUUAGAAACCCGUGUAGUCC